ACUGGAGAGCGGUUGCCUAGAGCAACCCACCGAAGGGGCAAGCGGCGCAAGCUGCAUAAACUCUCAGGUACACAGGACAGAGGGAG
rnacentral:ncRNA from 1 species